AGAAGAGGCAUAGCUCAAGGCAGGGAAACCACACAGACCAGUCACUGUGACACAAUCACUAAAGCUGUUCCACAUAAUGCACUUCCUGUUAAUACAGCGCUUUCAAUUCAGUUCCAUUUUAUCUGCAACACACUUUUAACAGUGGACAUGGUCUCAAAGCAGGUUUAGAGAAAUAGAAAAACAUGGAAUUACAAUGUAAAUGUUUAAGAUCUAUCCCUGUUGAUCGGGUCUAAGGUGAUGCUGGUGAGGAAAAACUCCUUGAGGUGAUAUGAGGAGGAAACCUUGAGAUGAACCAGACUCAGAAGUGAACACUGGACAGUAACGAACAUCUUCAGUGUCUCAGCAUUGCUUCAGUGUUUAAGUUCAUCUUGGUUCUGUAGAGCUGCGGCUGUGACAAAAGUUCUGAGCUGAGCUGAACACUUUGCUGUCAUGAGCUCAAACACCACACAUUCCUAACAGAGGAGAGGCUUUGUGAGGACCACGUCAGUAAUUAUUUAAAAGAAUUACGUUGUAUUUAACAGGAGGAUUAAGAAACGUUCAGAAAAUAUGUAACGUCUUAAAACAGACAAAAGCACUUGUGUAAAUCCUGAUGACGUUCUGAACAUUAUUCAAAUGUGUGUGUAAUGUGAAGGGUGUGUAAGCACUUUAUUUUAGUGUGUAGAUGAUGAAAUCCAGCAAGCGGAGAACUUCCUGUGCAGAAGUUCACUGGCCGUCAACCGUCACUGAGACUAAACACCAUAUAAAUUCCUGUCAUCAGUUAGUAAGAACUAAUACAGCAGUUUAGUACAGUAGCACUACAGGACCUGUAUGUAGGUGUGUGUGUGUGUGUGUGUGUGUGUGUGUGUGUGUGUGUGUGUGUGUGUGUGUGUGUGUGUGUGUGUGUUUGUGUGUGUGUGUGUGUGUAGCAGUUUGUACAAUAACUGUUUCCACAUUUCCAACUUCACAAUCACUGUUAAGCUUGUUGAGGACCAUGCUGUUGUUCGCCUGAUCUCUGAUUAAAGCCUGGAGAACUAGUGCCAGGAAAACAGCCUCCUCCUGAACAUCAGCAGCACAAAGAAGUUGAUUGUGCACUUCAGCUUGAAACAGGAGAGGAGAUAGCGGAUGCUCAGGAGAAGCAAAGCCCCAGUGGAGAAAGUAGGGGUGUGCACGUAUAGUCGAACAUUCGAAAAUUGUCUGCUGUAAUUAUUCGAUAAAUAAAAAUGCUAUUUGAAAAACCUUUUUGAACAUUCAGAGCAUUUUCCUUGAUGCGAGUGGAGCGGAUGCAGCCGCCGCCACCAACGAUGAAGAGGAUGCGGCAAUGCCUUCGGCGAUGAUUACAGAGAAUCCAGCCAAGACGAGUGGGAGCAGUUCUUGCUGGAGCCAUGUAUUCCACCAGAUGAUCAUCCCAUUCAGUGGUGGAACAAAAACACGAAGCGCUUCACAAAACUUAGUUGCUUAGCACACCGUUACUUGUGUGUCCCGGCAACUUCUGUGCCGUCAGAGCGCGUUUUCUCCGCAGCCGGCCUUAUUGUUAACAGACUAAGGAGCCGACUUUCCCUCGAUCAUGUUGACAUGCUUGUGUUCCUUAAACAGGCAUACCAUGAGUAUGUCGGUUCCAAAACACCUGAGAAGAGUUAGUUUAAUCAACCUCCAACUGGUUACCCAGAGUUUAUGCGCGUGCACGGUGCAUAUAUAAAGACAUUUUCAAUGGAUCGCCGAUUUCACGAGUCACCAUGUAAACUCAAAGCGAAAAAAAGAGAGCGCCGUAUUUCACAGAGGCGGAGUUGGAGGUUUUAAUGCACGCUUAUGAGGAAUUUAAGCCAAUAAUAUUAAAAAGAAGCAAUACAGCUGCAUCGGCUAAGAGAGUUGGCUUGGCAAAAAAUAACAGACAGAGUAAAUGCGUGUAAUCCUUCUGGAGCCAGAAGAACUUUAAGCCAAGUCAAAAUAAAACACAAAAACAUUCUGCAAAAAGGAUGAAGAUGAUGAAGAUGACGAUGAAGAGACCACAUCUGGAUCCACUGAGGUAUGAUGCAUACCAUUAUAAUGUAUGGCUGCUUUUGGCAUUAGAGUAACAAACUGUCAUUGUCCUUUCACAGUACAUACCUAGGGAUUUGCCCACAGAUGAGGGUCAAUGUUG